AUUGAACGCUGGCGGCAGGCCUAACACAUGCAAGUCGAGCGAGCGGUGGACGGGUGAGUAAUGUCUGGGAGACUGCCCGAUGGAGGGGGAUAACUACUGGAAACGGUGGCUAAUACCGCAUACUAUCGGAUGUGCCCAUAUGGGAUUAGCUAGUAGGUGGGGUAACGGCUCACCUAGGCGACGAUCCCUAGCUGGUCUGAGAGGAUGAACAGCCACACUGGAACUGAGACACGGUCCAGACUCCUACGGGAGGCAGCAGUGGGGAAUAUUGCACAAUGGGCGCAAGCCUGAUGCAGCCAUGCCGCGUGUAUGAAGAAGGCCUUCGGGUUGUAAAGUACUUUCAGCGGGGAGGCGUUACUCGCAGAAGAAGCACCGGCUAACUCCGUGCCAGCAGCCGCGGUAAUUC
rnacentral:rRNA from 1 species